GGAUUCUCUGUGUUUUGAAUCUGAUUACCCUGUGAGGCAUUUACCAUCCUGAUUUUACAGAGCCCCCCAAGUUCCUGAACUACAGAAGGUCCUUUUGGAAGAAUCAGAUGAAAUAAAAAAGCAGUCAGAGCAAAAUACAGCAGAAGCAGAAAGUAACACCACCACUAGCAAUAUAAGAAAGAACAAGUGGUCCAUGAAGACUGCCAAAAUUAAUUGCCACAAAGACCAAGAUGGAGAAGUAAGUUUAAACAAUACACCUAUGGAAAAUGAUGAUAUUUUUGCACACCAACCAGAAGCUAAGUGAAACUGAAGACAAAGCUCCAGAUCAAAUACGCAUGUUUCAGACCUGGCAAAAAUUAUUAGAAGUAGAAAGAAAAGCUAAAACAAUAAGAAAAAAAUCAUGAAGUCUUUGACAGAAGACGAAAGGGACAGUGUGAUUUUUGGCUGAGCAAAGAGAAACUGAAAUAAACCUACAGGCGUUACAGCAAACAAAUCUCAGUCAGAAGACAAUAAAGAGCUAAAUCCCCCAGCACCUAUUUUGAACAUUAAUAAAACUGAGAGGAUCUGCUCUUGGGAUUCUGAGAGCUCUCAGUAAUGAUGUACUGGAAACUGAUGUGUUAAUUUCACAUGUUCUGUAUAUGAUUUAGGCAGUUCAGUAUAGUUUUCUGAUGCUGAAAGAACAAUGGUGCUUCCAACAUGCCCAAAGGAAGUAAAAAGCUACUUUAAAA